GCUCCAGUAGCUUAAUUUCAAAGCAUUGGUCUUGUAAACCAAAGAAUGAAGAAUAAACCCUUCCUGAAGCU
rnacentral:tRNA from 1 species